rnacentral:rRNA from 1 species
CCUACGGGGGACAGCAGUGAGGAAUAUUGGUCAAUGGGCGGGAGCCUGAACCAGCCAAGUCGCGUGAGGGAAGACGGUCCUAUGGAUUGUAAACCUCUUUAGGCGGGGAGCAAGGCCGGGUACGUGUGCCCGGAGGGAGAGUACCCGCAGAAUAAGCAUCGGCUAACUCCGUGCCAGCAGCCGCGGUAAUACGGAGGAUGGGAGCGUUAUCCGGAUUUAUGGGGUUUAAGGGGUGCGUAGGCGGAUUUUUAAGUCAGCGGUAAAAUGUCCGGGCUCAACCCGGGCCGGCCGUUGAAACUGGGGAUCUUGAGUGGGCGAGAAGUAUGCGGAAUGCGUGGUGUAGCGGUGAAAUGCAUAGAUAUCACGCAGAACUCCGAUUGCGAAGGCAGCAUACCGGCGCCCGACUGACGCUGAGGCACGAAAGCGUGGGGAUCGAACAGGAUUAGAUACCCCUGUAGUC